GUAGAUAUCGGGGAGGAACACCAGUGGCGAAAGCGGGCCUUCUGGGAUGAUCCUGACGCUCAGACACGAAAGCUAGGGUAGCAAACGGGAUUAGAGACCCCGGUAGUCCUAGCAGUAAACGAUGUAGACUUGGUGUCGGAGGUGUCAAAGCCUUCGGUAUCGUAGCUAACGCGAUAAGUCUACCGCCUGGGGACUACGGCCGCAAGGUUAAAACUCAAAGGAAUUGACGGGGGCCCGCACAAGCAGCGGAGCGUGUGGUUUAAUUCGAUGCUACACGAAGAACCUUACCCAGGUUUGACAUGUUGGUGGUAGGAAUCCGAAAGGUGACCGACCCGCAAGGGAGCCUUCACAGGUGCUGCGUGGCUGUCGUCAGCUCGUGUCGUGAGAUGUUCGGUUAAGUCCGCUAACGAGCGCAACCCUCGCCGUAUGUUAUAUGUGUCAUGCGGGACCGCCGGUAUCAAGCCGGAGGAAGGUGGGGAUGACGUCAAGUCAGCAUGGCCUUUAUGUCUGGGGCUACACACAUGCUACAAUGGCCGGUACAAUGGGUUGCUAAUCCGCGAGGUAGAGCCAAUCCCCAAAGCCGGUCUCAGUUCAGAUCACAGGCUGCAACCCGCCUGUGUGAAGUUGGAGUUGCUAGUAAACGCGCGUCAGCUAUAGUGCGUUGAAUACGUUCUCGGGCCUUGUACACACCGCCCGUCACGUCAUGGGAGCUGGUAACACCUGAAGCCGGUAGCCUAACCGCAAGGAGGGCGCUGUCGAAGGUGGUGCUGGUGACUGGGACGAAGUCGUAACAAGGUA
rnacentral:rRNA from 1 species